rnacentral:rRNA from 1 species
GUUCAAUUUAAAAUCCUUAACGAGGAACAAUUGGAGGGCAAGUCUGGUGCCAGCAGCCGCGGUAAUUCCAGCUCCAAUAGCGUAUAUUUAUGUUGUUGCAGUUGAAACGCUCGUAGUUGGAUUUCAGGAUGGAACGACUGGUCUGCCACUUUGUGGUGUGUACCGGUUUGUCUGUUCUUUUAUUUGAGGAUGCAUUCUGUCCUUUACUGGAUGGUUUGUGGACUCAAAUCUUUUAGUUUGAAAAAAUUAGAGUGUUUAAAGCAGGCGUUAUGCCUUGAAUACAUUAGCAUGGAAUAAUGAAAUAGGACUUUGGUUCUAUUUUGUUGGUUUCUAGAACUAAAGUAAUGAUUAAUAGGGGCAGUUGGGGGCAUUAAUAUUUAAUUGUCAGAGGUGAAAUUCUUGGAUUUAUGAAAGAUUAACUACUGCGAAAGCAUUUGUCAAGGAUGUUUUCAUUAAUCAAGAACGAAAGCGUGGGGAUCGAAGAUGAUCAGAUACCGUCGUAGUCCACGCCCGAACCGAUGCCAUCUAGGAAUUGGUGAAUGUUCAUUUAUGACUUCAUCAGCGUCUUCCGAGAAAUCAAAGAUUUUGGGUUCUGGGGGGAGUAUGGUCGCAAGGCUGAAACUUAAAGGAAUUGACGGAAGGGCACCACCAGGAUUGGAGCCUGCGGCUUAAUUUGACCCAACACGGGAAAACUUACCAGGUCCAGACAUAGUAAGGAUUGACAGAUUGAGAGCUCUUUCUUGAUUCUAUGCGUGGUGGUGCAUGGCCGUUCUUAGUUGGUGGAUUGAUUUGUCUGCUUAAUUGCGAUAACGAACGAGACCUUAACCUACUAAAUAGCUACGCGAACCCUAGGUUCGUGGCCAGCUUCUUAGAGGGACUAUAUAAGACAAUUAUAUGGAAGUUUGAGGCAAUAACAGGUCUGUGAUGCCCUUAGAUGUUCUGGGCCGCACGCGCGCUACACUGACGAAUUCAACAAGUUUUAACCUUGACCGAUAGGUCUGGGUAAUCUUUUAAAAGUUCGUCGUGCUGGGGAUUGACAAUUGCAAUUUUUUGUCAUGAACGAGGAAUUCCUAGUAAGCGCGAGUCAUCAGCUCGCGUUGAUUACGUCCCUGCCCUUUGUACACACCGCCCGUCGCUCCUACCGAUUGGAUGGUCCGGUGAAGUCUUCGGACCAUUGCGGCAACUGGUUCGCCAGUAGCUCUGUAGUGGGAAGUUGAUUUAACCUUAUCAUCUAGAGGAAGGAAAAGUCGUA